CAGGAACAGGAUCCCCCUUGUGGAAUUCACGGAGUUAUUUGCCAGUGCUAGGGUAAGAAGCUGGGCCUGGCUGCUCCAAAUGAGAUGCCACGUUUCUCAGAAGAACUGGAAAGAAAAGAAUGGUUCCUUUCCAGGCCCAUGUCAGCCUUGUUGAAUGAAGAUGAGAAUAACUGGCUUAUCAAAGGGAAAGAAUUUCUACACCAAAUACACCUACUUGCCUGGAUUACAUUCACAGACACAGAAAAAAAUACGUGAGAAAGAGGCAGUUUUCUGUCAGAUCUUGCACUGAUCUUCUAAUCUGGAUACCAUCCACCGGCUAAAUAAAAUAUUUGGAACAGGA